rnacentral:pre_miRNA from 1 species
AGUGGGAUAGCUGGGUCAAAUGGUGGUUCCAUUCCAACUUUUCUAAGGAAUCUCCAUAUUGCUUUAUAGAUUGGUUGUACCAAUUUGUAGUCCUACCAGCAAU